rnacentral:rRNA from 1 species
AUUGAACGCUGGCGGCAGGCCUAACACAUGCAAGUCGAGCGGAGCGGCGGACGGGCGCGUAAUGCCUAGGAAUCUGCCUGGUAGUGGGGGAUAACGUCCGGACACGGGCGCUAAUACCGCAUACUAUCAGAUGAGCCUAGGUCGGAGUAGGUAGCUGGCGGGGUAAAGGCCUACCAAGGCGACGAUCCGUAACUGGUCUGAGAGGAUGAACAGUCACACGUGAACUGAGAAACGGUCCCGACUCCUACGGGAGGCAGCGGUGGGGAAUAUUUGACAAUGGGGUAAGGCCUGAUUCAGCCAUGCCGCGUGUGUGAAGAAGGUCUUCGGAUUGUAAAGCAUUUUAAGUUGGGAGGCGUUACCAACAAACUAAGCACCGGCUAACUUCGUGCCAGCAGCCGCGGUAAUUC